AAUCGUGUUAGCAGACCCUAGUUUUAGGUUUCUAAACAUGAGUUUAGAGAUUACCUCGCACCCCCGUUGUGUCUGUCCGUGCGUCAGUGGCGGAUAUCCGGUGUGAGGGCAAUUGGUAGAUCGUUCCCGCUCUCGGCGUUUUCGUCUUCGCCGUAUUACAUUACGUUACCUUCGACUUAAAACUUAAGAAACUGAAUUCCGUGGAUUUUAAACUCGCCCCCCC